GACGAACGCUGGCGGCGUGCUUAACACAUGCAAGUCGAACGGAAAGGCCCUGCUUUUGUGGGGUGCUCGAGUGGCGAACGGGUGAGUAACACGUGAGUAACCAGCCCUUGACUUUGGGAUAACUUCAGGAAACUGGGGCUAAUACCGGAUAGGAGCUCCUGCUGCAUGGUGGGGGUUGGAAAGUUUCGGCGGUUGGGGAUGGACUCGCGGCUUAUCAGCUUGUUCGUGGGGUAGUGGCUUACCAAGGCUUUGACGGGUAGCCGGCCUGAGAGGGUGACCGGCCACAUUGGGACUGAGAUACGGCCCAGACUCCUACGGGAGGCAGCAGUGGGGAAUAUUGCACAAUGGGCGGAAGCCUGAUGCAGCAACGCCGCGUGCGGGAUGACGGCCUUCGGGUUGUAAACCGCUUUCGCCUGUGACGAAGCGUGAGUGACGGUAAUGGGUAAAGAAGCACCGGCUAACUACGUG
rnacentral:rRNA from 1 species